UGGAAGGAGACUUACAGCAAACUACAAUGUCAAAGGGAGAUGGAUAGGUAGUUUCUUGCAACAUUUAUCUAAAUUUCUUUUGGCCUCAACCUUAGAAAGACACAUCAGCUUUUGGAAUUAGAGGAUGAGGAUGAUGUAAGUCUCAAACCUUCUUUUUAUUGUUGCAUAAACAAGAAUAUUUUUCUACCGAUUUUAUCAUUCAUGUCGAUAAACUGAUGAACAGUCGCAGAUUAUAUUAUAUAAAUAUGUUUGUGUUUUUAAAUAAAUAAUCCAAUUUGUGUUUGAAAUGUAUGUUGUCUAAUAAACAAUCCAAUUAAAAACCCAAAAUUUUUGAUCCAUGCGUAGCAUCGGUGCCUCUUUCCUAGUUAGUAAUUACAAGUACAUAAAAUAUAUACUGUAAUUGAUUCGUUAAAAACCGGCUUCAAAUCAAUACUCAAAAUAUUUGCUUUACAGAAAAAUACCCGGAGUUACAUUAUUUUCCAGAUAACUAAAUCACUAAUUAACUUGCAACUCUUUUAUAUUUGUCGAUUAUAUUGAAUUUCAUUACAUGAUGAUGACGUAGCAGUAUAGCGCAAAUGUUUUAAAACAAAUUAUUUUAAAGUUGGAUACUGUAAAACUAGAAGUUGUGUUUUCCAAUGAAAGUAUUUAUUAAAUAUAUAAUUCUCACAUUUUAGCAGAAUUUUUGACUCUCACUUCUUAUUUGCGAAAUCUUAAUUUUCCUUUUUUCUAUAAUAAUUUUUAUGGCAAAUUUAAUGAAUUCUACAAAUAUUUCACUUUUUCAGGAGAAGGUAUAUACCAAAGUAAAUCUCAAUUUUCAUAGCCAAUGUAUGAAAUACGUAGUCAUUUUGUUUAUGUUUUGAAAAACAUCGUUAUCUUGUGUUCCAUUUAUUUGGUAAUUUUUGUGUGAAAUUCUUUUUGAAAAUAAGUACGAUUUUGAUUAUCAGCUUAUUCCUUGAUCAGGCAUCAAUUUAGUAACGCAAAUUGAUGAUUGUACACGAGAAAAAAAAAAGUUUUUUCGGUGCUCGUAUGUGGAAAUGACCAGUGUAACAAAUGCAAUGCAGCCAAAGUAAUUAUUUAGCUCAUUUAAUGAGAUGCCAUUGCUGUUCUUACAAUUGGUAAGGGUUUUUAGGAGCUCCACUUUACAUACUUAUUGGCUCUCCUCUAUUACUACCUGUUAACGAACCUAUUGUAUUUGUCUAGUUAUGUAUUGUAUUUCUAGUUUAUAUGGCCCAUUGUAUUGUGGCCAUUUUCCUUUUAUCUUCUUCUUCCAUCCUAAUAAAUAAGUAUUCUUUUGCCACCGGACAAUUGCUAGGCCCCUCCCAAACGUUAAUUUUUCGGCUCAAAAUUACCAAGUGAAGUUCCGAUAAUGCCCUUUGUGCUUCUUAGUACCCCAUCCGCCUUCAUUCUCGCUCUUGGGUUGGAUAUAAUUAAGAGUUUCCAACUUCUGUGCAAUGAAUCAACUCCCAAAUUUAAUCAGCCCUUUCUUUUAUUUUUCAGCCGGAGGAGUGGUAAAAUGUGAAAGUUUAUAAGGGAAAAAAAAGCUGCACUAUUCCAUAUAAAUUCAUAUUUGAGGUUUGAAUUCUAAUUGUCUGAGUGGGUAGACGGAUUUAUGGGGGAGUAUGAGGAAAGAUUGUUUUGUUGUGAUGCACUUCAUAUGAGGUAACCAUUAUAUUGUGCUCCUUCUUUUUACUAAUUUCAAAUGGAGUAUGAAAGGAGAUUUGGUGUUUUUAUGCUCUUGUAUAUGUACCUAAUUUUGGAUGAAGCUCACUGUUUUUCAUCAAUUAUGAUCUACCAAUAAGUUAAAUCGAACGCUAUGUUGAAGAAAACUGGUAGUUUUUAUGGUUUUAUUUAUUUAUUCUAUACAUUUGCUAGAGGUUUCAAAUGGUUAGAUGUAUAUUUAUGAAGAAAACUGGUAGUUGUUAUGGUUUUAUUUAUUUAUUCUAUAUAUUUGCUAGAGGUUUCGCAUGGUUAGAUGUAUUGGACUUUUCUUCGGUAAUUAUGGUUUUGUAUUCUUGGUUUCACAUAAAUAACCUUUGUUUCAAAUUUAGUUUUCUUUUCAUUAUUAUUUCUAUGUCAGAAUGAAUCAUAUAAUUUGAUCCGUUCAUAUGUUUAUAUCAUAUUUGCAAAAUUCUUGUGACUAAAUGUGUAUAUACAGGGUAAUUUGCUUGGAUUAGGUGAUAGAACUAAGCUGGAAUUGUAAAGAGGAAAUGGGUUCAGAAGGUCGAGAGAUAAUAAUUGUUGAUUCUACUUGUAUCAGAUAUAGUUGUAAGCCCAUUUUCACCCCCUUACACUCUCAAUGCUCUAUCUUACUCACUCUUUCAUUUUUUUAAGAAUCUACCAGUUGCAUCAUUCUACACCAAAAGACUCCAUUAUCUAGGGUGUACCUUAUUUCUACUAUCUUCCCUCUUUGACUCCACAAUGAAUAUCUACCACUGCCAAUGAAGAAACACAUAGGAUUGCAACCUAAAUGCGGUCUAAUUAGUAAACUAAGUUAUCAAGUCGAUACCUAAAUCGUAGUUUUUUUAUAACAAAUUUAACCAGCCCUUCAAAAACUUUAAGCUAAAGUUUAGGUUUUAUUAGAUAUUUAUGGUUUAUAAUUAGAAAUUUAAUCAACUUGUUAAAAGCUAAACUUCACUUUUUAUUUGAAGUUUAAUUGACCCAAUAAAUAUCUAAAGCUAAAUUUAAGUUCAAAUUUUCAUUAAAACGAACAAGUUCAAGAUUUGAAGCUAACGUUUUAACCAUCAAAUGUUUUAAUUCAAAGUUUAGCCUUUUCAUUUGAAGUUUAGUCAACCAUGAAAUGUAAUUUCUAAAAACAAUUUAGAUCAAAUAUAGGGAUGUAAUCUGUAUAUAAUUCUUUUAUUAAAGAGAAAACUCAUCAUAUGACCAAAAGAAGGGGGUGUUUGUAGCAACUGACCAUGAAAAACAAAACUUUAUUAAAUGGUCACGACUUCGCAGAGAGGGACUCUGUGAAAGUCCUUACGAUCUAAGGAAUCGGAGACGUGGGGAAAAAGACAAAAAAUAAUGUGUUUUUACACAGUUCUGUCGAGAGGGGCUCUAAAAUCAAUACCCCUCUAUGGAACACAUGUAUACCUCUGAGGAAAUGGUAGCUGAAAGCAUUAAAUUUUUUCUGACAUUUCCUCAUAGGUGUACAUGCGUUCUGCAGAGGUGUACUCAUUUCUGCAGAGCCCUUCUCUAUGGAACUGUAUGAAAGCAUUUUUUGUCUUUUUUCCCGUGUGUUCAAUUUCUCAAAGCGAUUUCUUAUUCCUCAGAGCGUAAGGACUUCCACAAAGCCCUCUCUGCGGAAGUCGUAGUUAUUUAAUAAAGUUGUGUUUUGUAUGGUCAUUUGAUAGAAUUUUCUUUUUAUUAAGAGGUGAAAAAGAAUAAUAGUUUAAUCACUAAAAGAAAUAGCAAAGUGACAAAAUCAAUAAAAUAGAGAAAAUAUAUUGUGCUUUCUCUAUAUUUUUCCCUUUUCAAAACCUGAAAAAGUUAUUUUCUUAAACCAUAAAAAAGUAUGUAAUGGUUUAAUUAGUUGAGUCUUUUAAUAAUAAGACAUCCAAAAUAUUAAAACAUAGAAAAUAUAUUGUGCUUUCUCUAUAUGAUAUAACCUCUUAUUAUAUAUAAAGUUAUAUCAUAUGUACUAAGUUUUAAUGGUUUGGAUGUCUUGUUUUUUUUUUGUGCGUAGUUUGAAUUUUCUAAUUGUAUUUUUUAUAUGUCAAUGUCGAGGUCAUAGAUUGAAGACAAACAUAUGAAAUAAAAAAGAAAGCAUUAGGGAAAGAAGGUAAUUUGAUAAUUUUUGGGCUAAGAAUCUCGGAGUGUAUUUUCUUUUGUUUUGCUAACUGUUUGUGCUUUUGAUAGGUUAAAGUGGUUAGAAGAAGGUUCAAGUAAAGUUCGUGGUUUUGUGUCAGAUUUUCUCUAUGUUUGUGAUCUAUAAACUAUUUUAAAUUUUCUACUUUAGUAUUGUACUUUCAAUUCUAUCUUAUUCAAAACUUAUAUUUUGAAGAUUCCUCCUAAUUAUAGUUUUGAACAUUUGCUUUGUAUUUGGAUGACACUUAUAUUGUUUUUUUAGUAAAGUUGUAUUAGUUGGAAGAAUUGAAAGAAUUAAUCGGAAGAAUUGAAAGAACUGAAAUAACGUUGCU
rnacentral:lncRNA from 1 species